rnacentral:rRNA from 1 species
AUCCCAACUUGGUGGGGGAUUAUUGGCGAACGGGUGAGUAACACGUGAGUAACCUGCCCUUAGCUCUGGGAUAAGCCUGGGAAACUGGGUCUAAUACCGGAUAUGACUCCUCAUCGCAUGGGGGGGGGUGGAAAGCUUUAUUGUGGUUUUGGAUGGACUCGCGGCCUAUCACCUUGUUGGGGAGGUAAUGGCUCACCAAGGCGACAACGGGUAGCCGGCCUGAAAGGGUGACCGGCCACACUGGGACUGAAACACGGCCCAAACUCCUACGGGAGGCAGCAGGGGGGAAUAUUGCACAAUGGGCGAAAGCCUGAUGCACCGACGCCGCGUGAGGAAUGACGGCCUUCGGG